UACGUAGGGUGCAAGCGUUAAUCGGAAUUACUGGGCGUAAAGCGUGCGCAGGCGGUUGUGUAAGUCAGAUGUGAAAUCCCCGGGCUCAACCUGGGAAUUGCAUUUGAGACUGCACGGCUAGAGUGUGUCAGAGGGGGGUAGAAUUCCGCGUGUAGCAGUGAAAUGCGUAGAUAUGUGGAGGAACACCGAUGGCGAAGGCAAUCCCCUGGGCCUGCACUGACGCUCAUGCACGAAAGCGUGGGGAGCAAACAGG
rnacentral:rRNA from 1 species